GCUGUCUCUGUAACUGGCAGCACUUGCUUAGGGCUCCUAAGAUUGGCUCCUUAUGGGGUUGGCUUUUUCAUGAACUUCGGUGUGAGAAACAGUCCCUAGGGUGACCAAUUCAUGACGGUUUUCCUGGAACUCUGUUGGCGUUAAAACCAAAAGACCCACAUUCUGGGAACUCCCUAAGCCCCAGAGAUACGCAAUAUACUGACUUCCUUUUGCAAGACAUCUGUGAAGGUCAAGACACUCUCCAAGCACUCCUUUCCGGCCUGCUGUCCCCAGCCUAACACUGCUCAUGAGGAAGUAACCAGCAGCCAUCAAAGAUUGGCCUCGGCGCAUCCUCCUACACCACCAGGACUGCUGGGAGGUGGUGAACUGCAUUUUCUUCUUUUUCUGUGGCUUCUGAGUGCAGAUCCCCAUUUGUGUAGAGCCAAUGAAUGGUAAAUAUCAAGUCCUUGACUUUCUUAGACCUGUGGGACUAGUGUAGAAAAAAAUAAAAG
rnacentral:lncRNA from 10 species